CUUUGAUAUUAAUGAGUUUUUUGGGUUCAUUGAGAACAUGGUUGUUGUUCAAUAAUAAAAUUAUUCCUCAGAAAUACAACUUGCCUAAUAAUUCUGCACUCCCUGUACAUGCCUGUGUUAUUUUUUUAAGGUACAUCCCUGUGCUCCUCCUCCUCUGUUCAUAUUUGAUAAAUGGGAGAGGUAGUUCUUGGAAAUAAAGUAAAUAACAUACAUCAGGUUUGUUCAGUUGAGCUCUUGGUGUCAUUUGAAUGUUAUCUUUGAAAGCACAGACAUGGAAUGGGAAGAAAUAUGCAAGACGGUCCUUGUGUCUGCAGGUACGCCAUGACAUUAACCACAGCAUAAUUUUGAAAUGAAAAUCUUUAAUAUAUGUUUUUUGGGGUUUUUUUAGGAGCUGGUGGAACUGUGAUUCUGACUCCUGCCAUUCUGGCUUCACUGGGGUUCACUUCAGCUGGAAUAGCAGCAGGCUCCAUCGCUGCCAAACUGAUGUCAUAUUUAGCAAUCGCUAGUGGAGGUGGAGUUGUAGCAGGAGGUCUCGUAGCAACCUUGCAGUCCUGGAGUAAACUGAAUAAUUUACUAUAUAUUAUCUCUCUCUCUCUCUCUAAAAGCUUUGCUCAUGUUGAAUAAGCUAAUAGAGCUAAUAGUGUCUAACAUGAUUUCACUGUAGGUGCAGCAGGUAUGUCAUGGGCUGCCACUGCAUUAUUUGGCGGUGUUGGUGGAGCAGCGGCUUGGGUGCUCUCAACUGUGUGUAACGUGACUGUGGUUUAUGAAGAUUAACACGUAAAAAAACACAAACUGACCUACAAAUGUUUUCUCCUGUGACAAAUUUUAAUCGCCUGGAUGAAACGUUAUUCUUAUGUGUGAAUGUCGAACACUGAGAUUAAAGCAUAUUUUGAGAAUUAAGUUACAAAAAUGGUUCAUAAAAAUUUCAUUCAGAUUUUAUCCAUCAUUAAAAACAAAAACAAAAAACAACUGAUAUGGUGCCUUUAUUCUCUUCAUUAAUUCAAUGUGAAAAUUAAAAGUCAUGCAAAAAUAAGUGUUUCCUUGCUUUUAUUGUAAACAACUUAAUGUAAAGCACAGUAACAAUACCAUAUGUUUCUAUAGUCCAUAAAUCUAUCACUCUUACAGAGCCACAACUCUGACGGGAGACUAUGUAGGACAGGGGUGUCAAACUCCAGUCCUUGAGGGCCGGUGUCCUGAAACUUUUCCAUGUGUCCCUGAUGCAAC
ensembl:lncRNA